CACUUCCCAACAAGAGUUAGAGUUUAUUUCCCCUCCCCCGAACCUGGACUGUGCUUUGCACUGUUGAAUAGAAUGUGGUGGGAGUGAAACUAUGGGACUUCCAAGGUGAGGUCAUAAAAGAUGGUACUGCUUCUGCCUAGCUCACUCAAGAACCCAACCCCCAUAGUGUGAGGAGGCCUAGGACAGUUACAGAAGCCAUGUGUAGGUGUUGUGGCUCCAGCAAAGGUCUCAUCUGAUAACAUCAACUACAUGGAGCCAUGGAGAAGAGGAGACAGAGUGUGCAAGGGAAUGAAGAAGAGGACCAAGACUAUUUUCAAAUCACCCAUGGCACUACUAGAAAAGUAUUUCAGCAAAACUACUGGCUGAUUUUAUGAUUCCCGUGUCCACCACAGCCCUCUAAUUUUUACAUAGGUACCCCACAUCUCUCCAGAUUUCAGGAAGACUAUUAUCCUUCGGCUUUAGCUUUCUGAUGGGUUCACAAAAAGCCAUUAGUGUGCUGUUGGUCCAGCUUUUUUCCUGUUGCAAAUACGAGAGCUACAGUUCUGAGAUGAAACCAUAGGGGCAGAGUUCUUGUGGAAGGAAUGAGUCCAGUGUGGUCUGUGGUGUGCAUGAGAAAAUAAGCAGCAAAGGGCUGUACCUGAAGCAUAGUGCUGGCAUCUGCCUCCGGUAAGGACCUCAAGAAGCUUCCAGUCAUGGCAGAAGGUGAAGGGGAGCCAGCAUGUCACGUGGCGAGAGGAGCAAGAGGGGUAGGAUUUCUAGGCUCUUUUUAACAACCAGCU